UGGGGAAUAUUGCACAAUGGGCGCAAGCCUGAUGCAGUCAUGCCGCGUGUGUGAAGAAGGCCUUCGGUUGUAAGCACUUUCAGCGAGGAGGAAGGUGGUGAACUUAAUACGUUCAUCAAUUGACGUUACUCGCAGAAGAAGCACCGGCUAACUCCGUGCCAGCAGCCGCGGUAAUACGGAGGGUGCAAGCGUUAAUCGGAAUUACUGGGCGUAAAGCGCACGCAGGCGGUUUGUUAAGUCAGAUGUGAAAUCCCCGGGCUCAACCUGGGAACUGCAUUUGAAACUGGCAAGCUAGAAGUCUCGUAGAGGGGGGUAGAAUUCCAGGUGGUAGCGGUGAAAUGCGUAGAGAUCUGGAAGGAAUACCGGUGGCGAAGGCGGCCCCCUGGACG
rnacentral:rRNA from 1 species